ensembl:misc_RNA Y_RNA Y RNA
GGCUGGUCCGAUGGCAGUAGGUUAUCAGAACUUACUAACAUCAGUGUCACUAAAGUUGGCAGACAAUCCCCCACUGCUAAAUUUGACUGGCUUAAA